GUGCAAUCUAAGAGCUACCUUUGGAAGCAAGGAAUUUGGAAAGAGAUGAAAAAAUGAAUGAGAAUCCCUCUCUGGUUAUUAUUUCUGUCUGAAUUCCAUUUAGAACUGGAGUCAGACAAAAGAUUGGACACAAACAUGCUAUCAACAAGACAGCAGCAGUGAUAUACAAACCAGCACUAAUAAACUCUCUUGAUAUGUCUAGGGAGCCCUUCUAAAGAAAGCCUACAAACACCUGCCUGAAGGCUCUUCUUGCUUUAGGCUGGAUGGAUUUGCUUGCUGUCCUCGCUCUAAGUUAAUUUGUAAUCUACAAAUCCAGUCUGCUAUUAAGACACAGAAACAAAACUUAAAGGUUAAAAAAGAAAGAAAGAAAGAAAGAAAGAAAGAAAGAAAGAAAGAAAGAAAGAAAGAAAGAAAGAAAGAAAGAAAGAAAGAAAGAAAGAAAGAAAGAAAGAAAAGAAGAAAGAAAAAGAGAAAUAUUUUUGUCUGCUGCACCUGAACAGGCAUACACAGUUGCUGAACUGAGUCUGUCUGGGGUUUCAACACUGUAGUGGGAGCAAAGGAUGGUAAGAAAAGUCACUUGUGGAUCCCAGUUUCUAUAACAGAAGGUGCAAAAGGUGCUGCAUUGGCCUUGAGCAAGUUUUGGAGAGGACUUGGUGGCUCAUGAAGAUCCCACCUCAGGGCCAGAAGAAAUCUAGGCGGUGUCACAGCGAUGGCAAAAUGCUCUGCAGGACAGUCACAUACCCAGCCAGAGAGGACUGCAAGAAGAGCAGACCCACGCCAAGUGUUCCUAUCCACGGUUUUGUUUUUAAAGAAGAAGUGGAUACCUCCCUGCAUGGCUGCAAUACCCGCCGGGUCGCAGACGCUGCUGGCUUGCCGCCUCGCCAGCCCGCCAUUCCCACUGCGAUGCCAGCCCCAUCACCAGCUCUCUGCCGCCCCGGCCAAAAUCCUUCCUGGCAUUUGAGCAAGGAUUUUGCUGGUGCAGUCAAGUCACCCUCGGUGUCACCAGCGGGGAGAGGGCAACCAAGCCCACUGAGAGGGCUGCCCUCUCCUCCAGCAGGGAGCUGCCCAUGCAACAGGGUGCACUGCUUAAGUGCCCUCUGCCCCAGGCAUGUUUCUAUUUCAAAACAAAACAACAACCAAAAAAACACAAGGCUAUGGAGGGGAGUGAAGCAAGCUGUUCAAACCAGCAGGAGGUCCCACCACUGCCAAGAGGGGCAUCUCCUCCCUGUGAUCCCUCAGUGGGGUGGAGGAGCUCACCGGGCCCCUGGGAACCAGGUUGCCUCACAAAGCUUGCUGAAAAUUCCCAUUUUUAUUAUCAUUUCUUUUUCUUUUUUUUUUUUUUUUUUUUUUCCUCUGGGAAAGGCAAUGGGCUUGUCCAGCAGGAGGUCCAGGAGCAAGCAGGGGAGAGGGGACAGUGGCAGAGGGCAGCAGGAGGCAGACCCUCCCCUCCGGCUGGGGCUCGCAUUGGUGCGGCUUCUCCCCACCGGCCCCCACCCCGCUCCUCCCACCGCCAGCAAUGCAGGGGACGGAGGAGAUCAAUCAUGGAUGGGGAGAGUUCAUUGCGAUGGGUUCACGUCUUUGUUUUUCCCUUAA
ensembl:lncRNA